rnacentral:rRNA from 1 species
UACGAAGGGGGCUAGCGUUGCUCGGAAUCACUGGGCGUAAAGCGCACGUAGGCGGAUCUUUAAGUCAGGGGUGAAAUCCUGGAGCUCAACUCCAGAACUGCCUUUGAUACUGGGGAUCUCGAGUCCGGAAGAGGUGAGUAGAACUCCGAGUGUAGAGGUGAAAUUCGUAGAUAUUCGGAAGAACACCAGUGGCGAAGGCGGCUCACUGGUCCGGUACUGACGCUGAGGUGCGAAAGCGUGGGGAGCAAACAGG